AUUGAACGCUGGCGGCAGGCCUAACACAUGCAAGUCGAGCGGAUGAAGGGAGCUUGCUCCUGGAUUCAGCGGCGGACGGGUGAGUAAUGCCUAGGAAUCUGCCUGGUCGUGGGGGAUAACGUCCGGAAACGGGCGCUAAUACCGCAUACGUCCUGAGGGAGAAAGUGGGGGAUCUUCGGACCUCACGCUAUCAGAUGAGCCUAGGUCGGAUUAGCUAGUUGGUGGGGUAAAGGCCUACCAAGGCGACGAUCCGUAACUGGUCUGAGAGGAUGAUCAGUCACACUGGAACUGAGACACGGUCCAGACUCCUACGGGAGGCAGCAGUGGGGAAUAUUGGACGAUGGGCGAAAGCCUGAUCCAGCCAUGCCGCGUGUGUGAAGAAGGUCUUCGGAUUGGAAAGCACUUUAAGUUGGGGGGAAGGGCAGUAAGUUAAUACCUUGCUGUUUUGACGUUACCAACAGAAUAAGCACCGGCUAACUUCGUG
rnacentral:rRNA from 1 species